UCCAGAGUAGCUCAGUGGUAGAGCUAUCGGCUGUUAACCGAUCGGUCGUAGGUUCGAGUCCUACCUGUGGAGCCA
rnacentral:tRNA from 1 species